rnacentral:rRNA from 1 species
AGAACUUAGCAGAGAUGCUUUGGUGCCUUCGGGAACUCUGAGACAGGUGCUGCAUGGCUGUCGUCAGCUCGUGUUGUGAAAUGUUGGGUUAAAGUCCCCGCAACGAGCGCAACCCUUAUCCUUUGUUGCCAGCGGUCCGGCCGGGAACUCAAAGGAGACUGCCAGUGAUAAACUGGAGGAAGGUGGGGAUGACGUCAAGUCAUCAUGGCCCUUACGAGUAGGGCUACACACGUGCUACAAUGGCGCAUACAAAGAGAAGCGACCUCGCGAGAGCAAGCGGACCUCAUAAAGUGCGUCGUAGUCCGGAUUGGAGUCUGCAACUCGACUCCAUGAAGUCGGAAUCGCUAGUAAUCGUAGAUCAGAAUGCUACGGUGAAUACGUUCCCGGGCCUUGUACACACCGCCCGUCACACCAUGGGAGUGGGUUGCAAAAGAAGUAGGUAGCUUAACCUUCGGGAGGGCGCUUACCACUUUGUGAUUCAUGACUGGGGUGAAGUCGUAACAAGGUAGGCGUAGCGAG